GAUGAACGCUGGCGGCGUGCCUAAUACAUGCAAGUCGAGCGAACAGAUAAGGAGCUUGCUCCUUUGAAGUUAGCGGCGGACGGGUGAGUAACACGUGGAUAACCUACCUAUAAGACUGGGAUAACUUCGGGAAACCGGAUCUAAUACCGGAUAACAUUUAGAACCGCAUGGUUCUAAAGUGAUAGAUGGUUUUGCUAUCACUUAUAGAUGGACUCGCGCCGUAUUAGCUAGUUGGUAAGGUAACGGCUUACCAAGGCGACGAUACGUAGCCGACCUGAGAGGGUGAUCGGCCACACUGGAACUGAGACACGGUCCAGACUCCUACGGGAGGCAGCAGUAGGGAAUCUUCCGCAAUGGGCGAAAGCCUGACGGAGCAACGCCGCGUGAGUGAUGAAGGGUUUCGGCUCGUAAAACUCUGUUAUUAGGGAAGAACAGAUGUAUAAGUAACUGUGCACAUCUUGACGGUACCUAAUCAGAAAGCCACGGCUAACUACGUG
rnacentral:rRNA from 1 species